rnacentral:lncRNA from 1 species
UUUGCUUUCAAUUGCUUCCCAGUGGAGGAUCUAAAGGAUGCCUAGGACUGUGGAUGAAGUUAUACCUAAACAAGAGGCCUGGAAGACUGCUUUGAAAUAUAUUUAGAAGGGGAUACUAUGAGAUACUGGGCUAAUAUUACGCCUGCGCGAGUAAAGGGAUGAGGUAAAGAAGAAUAGCGUGUGGGCAAUGAUUCAGAUCCCACCUACCAGUAGAGCCCUUUGUGUUAUAGACAAGGGGAAGUCUUGUCUUGCCAUUGUGGAAUCUGUAUGCUGAUGGAAAUCCUGCAAGCGCGACACUUACCUCAAAUCAACACUGGUAUUUGUAGUCAUGAUACUCC